rnacentral:rRNA from 1 species
AACGAACGCUGGCGGCAUGCCUAACACAUGCAAGUCGAACGAGACCUUCGGGGCUAGUGGCGCACGGGUGCGUACCGCGUGGGAACAUGCCCUUAGGUUCGGAAUAACUCCCCGCAAGGGGUGCUAAUACCGGAUAAUGUCUUCGAGCCAAGGCUUUAUCGACUUUGGAUGGGCCCGCGUUGGAUUAGCUUGUUGGUAGGGUAAACGCCUCCCAAUGCGACGAUCCAUAGAUGGUCGGAUAGGAUGAUCAGCCACACUGGGACUGAGACACGGCCCAGACUCCUACGGGAAGCAGCAGUGCGGAAUACUGGACAACGGGCGAAAGCCUGAUCCAGCAAUGCCGCGUGAGGGAUGAAGGCCUUAGGGUUGUAAAGCGCUCUUACCCGAGAUGAUAAUGACAGUACCGGGAGAAUAAGCUCCGGCUAACUCCGUG